UAGAAGAUAGUAUAGAGUGGUAGUACAUGAAUUUUGGACUUUAUGGUGUAGGUUCGUGGCCUAUUCUUCUA
rnacentral:tRNA from 1 species